rnacentral:rRNA from 1 species
GUAACACUAACUGGAGGACCGAACCGACUAAUGUUGAAAAAUUAGCGGAUGACCUGUGGCUGGGGGUGAAAGGCCAAUCAAACCGGGAGAUAGCUGGUUCUCCCCGAAAGCUAUUUAGGUAGCGCCUCGUGAAUUCAUCUCCGGGGGUAGAGCACUGUUUCGGCUAGGGGGCCAUCCCGGCUUACCAACCCGAUGCAAACUGCGAAUACCGGAGAAUGUUAUCACGGGAGACACACGGCGGGUGCUAACGUCCGUCGUGAAGAGGGAAACAACCCAGACCGCCAGCUAAGGUCCCAAAGUCAUGGUUAAGUGGGAAACGAUGUGGGAAGGCCCAGACAGCCAGGAUGUUGGCUUAGAAGCAGCCAUCAUUUAAAGAAAGCGUAAUAGCUCACUGGUCGAGUCGGCCUGCGCGGAAGAUGUAACGGGGCUAAACCAUGCACCGAAGCUGCGGCAGCGAACGUAUCACUUAAAGCGAUUCAGCGGGUUACGAUUGACGGAGCGAAGCGACGUCAAAGCGUAUACAAAGUCGAGUCGGUUUAAGGAUACGUUCGUUGGGUAGGGGAGCGUUCUGUAAGCCUGCGAAGGUGGCCUGUGAGGGUUGCUGGAGGUAUCAGAAGUGCGAAUGCUGACAUAAGUAACGAUAAAGCGGGUGAAAAGCCCGCUCGCCGGAAGACCAAGGGUUCCUGUCCAACGUUAAUCGGGGCAGGGUGAGUCGACCCCUAAGGCGAGGCCGAAAGGCGUAGUCGAUGGGAAACGGGUUAAUAUUCCCGUACUUGGUGUUACUGCGAAGGGGGGACGGAGAAGGCUAUGUUGGCCGGGCGACGGUUGUCCCGGUUUAAGCGUGUAGGUGUGUGUUCCAGGUAAAUCCGGUU